rnacentral:rRNA from 1 species
UACGGGGGGGGCAAGCGUUGUUCGGAAUUACUGGGCGUAAAGGGCUCGUAGGCGGCCAACUAAGUCGGACGUGAAAUCCCCAGGCUCAACCUGGGAACUGCGUCCGAUACUGGAUGGCUUGAAUUCGGGAGAGGGAUGCAGAAUUCCAGGUGUAGCGGUGAAAUGCGUAGAUAUCUGGAGGAAUACCGGUGGCGAAGGCGGCUUCCUGGACCGACACUGACGCUGAGGCGCGAAAGCUAGGGGAGCAAACGGG